AGUAUUUCCCGUUAUGACACAAUCUUUCAAUUACUUUAUUUCAUACCACUCGGCAUGUUGAGGAAGACAUGUUCCUCCAGAAAUAACUAUAAAAUGCUAGCUUUGGAUGUUUGUAAGAAGUCACUUAAUAGAUUAUCUUUUAAAAGAGCAAGAGGAAAAAGAGAAAUUUAGCAUAGAUGAGGUAAUUAUUUAUGAGCUCAAGAACUCCUCAUUGCAAGUGCUGGGUGCCGUUAUAACUAAGCCCUUGAAAGAUCCCUUUAAAUCAAUACAGUAAUUGGUCAUUCAGGGGAGAACAAACAUAUAACUAUAGGACAAAUGUGCAAGCAAAUUAUCCUAAUGUUAAAGCACAUAGAUUCUUGUAGUUGGGAUAAAUUUUCUAGGGAAAAUAUCCCUGGCAGAUUCAUAAACUGAUGGGACAUGACCUUGGAUACCUUUUGUAAGACUCAGAAAGCGGUUCCCUGCGGAUGAGAAUCCUGACAUCCAAGACUCAUAGGAGAAGUUUACGACAAAUCAUUUUCUGAAAUUGACAUGUGGAAAAAGAACAACACUUCUAAGCUGAUGUUUUAUGUAAUAUGUGAUUUCAAACAUGUAUGUUUAACAUUUUAAGUAAAUAGUUGACUCUUUUAUAUCUCUUUAAGUAUAUAUAUUCAAUUUGGCCUCAAACCUCUUUUAAUUUUGUCAUUGAAAAAAACGGGAGGUUGUGAUUGUAUAUCUGAACUGCCUUAUGUUUGUCAUGUGAUAAAUCAUGUCUAAUUUUUCUUCAUUAAAAACAACGUAGCAAUGAACAUCUUGGUAUGUGUUUCCUCCUACACAUGGCCAACAACGGGAAUUUCUCUCCUGUACAUGCCUAGAAGAAAAACCAGCACAUUGCUUUCUUACUCUUUGUGUUUAGAAUCCUGUGCUGCUUCUCAAAGGACAUUUUGUUUUCCAGGGGUCAAAGGACUACAGAGAAACAGGCUGAAAUCCUAAGGUUGCUCCACUCAGAAGCUGCUCUAAUAAGGGAGCCCUUUGCAGCACUGCUCUCCGAUGCCUCCGUCACUGUGUGUGAACCAGGGACCAGCCAAAGAUUCAAUCUCAAAGAGACAUUCGCAGGAAUGGGUCAUAGGUCAGCCACAGAGAUUCUGCCAUUUACCUUCGGUCCAUCUCUGCAGAGCAGGUUCCUCCUCAUUAGUAUGGAGUUCAGACCCCAGAACAAGAAGCAGGGCAUGGCCUCUGGGCACUCAAACCAGAGCGCUAAAGGUCUCGGCCAUUUCCAGAACACCGAGAAGCCUCAGGAGGAAAUGAGGCCUGGAUGGAGGUAAACCUUCCCCUGAUUAGGCUGAAGAGUGAAACUAACGGGGCAUUUGAGAAAGGAUAGAAGCCAUUUGUAACUUGGAGAAGGAGCAGAUCCAGAAGCCAAGCCAAGAGCGGAAAUGUGGCUCGGUUCUCCACGUGGUCACUCUUUUAAGUUUGCCCCUGGCUCACAUGCAAGCUCAGAGGUUGGCAUGGUUGAAGUCCCAUCAGCUUCAUUCAAUGCAUCAGGGAGCACAUAAGCCCACCAAAUUAGACGCCCCCCUUCCCCACAAAAAGUGCAACUCUAAGAUUUCUGGGAUAACUCAGGACCAACCAGCAAUCCAGAAAUUCAGUCAGAGGAUGUGAGUAGCAGAUUUACUCCUGGAUAGCUGCAGGGCAAGUGACUUCCCUUCUGAGCUUCAGUAUCCUGCUCUACAACGUGAGAAUAACCAUCCCCAUCCUAUGGGGUCAUUGUGAGGGUGGGAUGUCUUCAUGCAUGUGCGUGGACUGUUUUGUAGGAAGUGUUAGACACAAGGUAGCUGUUAGAUAUUCCUCUUUUCUUUUUAAAUAAUAACCAGAAACUAUGCUAAUAGGAAUGUGAGUAUCAAUACUACUACUAACGAUAUCCAUCGUGGAACAUUUAUUAUUCUCUUUCCUGGGCUAUGUCACCUCAUUCAACUGUCACAAGUUGGGUGUAUCGUGUCACAUUCACGUUGUAAAUGAGGAAACCCUGACUGAGCAGGUUAACUAACGUGCUCAAGAUGGCAGUGAGUGACUGGACCAACUCAAAACCAGAUUUGGCCAAAGCCAAGUCCCUUUUCUAGUCUGCUUUAGUAAACGACGUCAUAUGCACAUGGAAACGAUUGCUGCGGUCGAGCUAAUUACCAGAUCUCCUUACAUGGUUACCUUUUUGAGUGUGGUAACACCUGAGGUCGGUCGACUCUCUUAGCAAGUUUCUAGUAUUCAAUAUAAUAUUAAUAACUAUAUUCCCCAUGCUGUACAUUAAAUCUCUAGAUUUACACAUCCUACAUAACUCUGUACUAUUCCACAACUUACCCCAAUUUCCCCCACAUCUCUACCCCUGGUAACCACCAUUCUACUCUCUGCCUUUUUUUUUUUUUUUCUUUUAUGGCGGCACCUGCAGCAUAUGGAAGUUCCCAAGCUAGAGGUCAAAUCAGAACUGUAGCUGAGGCCUAUGCCACCGCCACAGCCACACCAGAUCCAAGCCACAUCUGUCAACUUUGCUUCGGCUUAGGGCAAUGCCAGACCCUUAACCCACCAAGUGUGGCCAGGGAUCAAACCUGUAUCCUCACAGAAAAAAAAAAAAAAUGUUGGGUCUUUAAUCUGAUGAGCCACAACAGGGAAUGCCUCUGCUUUUAUAUAUACAAUUCUUUUAAAGAUUCCACAUUUAAGUGAGAUCACGCAUUUUUUUCCUGUGUCUGGUUUACUUCCCUCAACAUAACGUCCUCUAGGUUCACUCAUGUUGCUGCAAAUACAAAGCCCCUUCUUCACCAUGACAGACCAAACUGCACAUCUUCACACACUGAAUAUAAGGUGGAGUGAGAGCAUCUCUGGGAGAAUCUGCCUUAUUCACACUGCCCCAAGAGUGGGACAAAAUUAGAAGUCUCUAAAUGAUGCUGGCUUUUUACAAUUUCCAAAUGAUGUGCAGUUGAGGGUUGCCCACCUGAAGUCUCUGGGCAGUUGAUUCCCCUCAUCUCUUCACUUCACAAACUCUGCAAACCCAACAGGGAAAACCGAUUAUUAAGUCUCUUGUUUUCAGGCAUGAUUGGAGUCUCCAAAUCAGGCCAGUCCUUGCCCCAUGAGACUGUCUCUCUCUCUCUCUCUCUCUCUCACCCAGAUGAGUAUGUGAGGAUUGGGGGCGGGGGAGCCUGUAAGAAUCAGUUGUUUCUACUGGCCUUUGAAAUGAGUGUGGGGCUUACAUUUAAAGGUGGAUCUGUCCAUCACACUAAAAUUUGACUUGAGGCCAAAGAAUGAAGUUCUCUGAAGUGAAUGGAUAUUGAGGCAACUGAAGACCGAUCUAUUUUUGCCUCCUCCCCAGUCUACUUCAUCCAUUCUACUUUCUGGACUUCUAAGCAGCUACCCUCCGCUGGGAAUCAAGGGCAUUGAAACACAAUCCUCACCAGCAAGUUAAUAUUUAGUGACAAUGGGACUAGUGCAGUGGUAGAGGGAGCACAGAGUGACAGCUCAGUUAUAAAAGCCAGUAGUUAUUCAGCUUGGCUCCCUACCAGGACCUAUGUGCCUCAUUUUUAAUUCUUAAAAAUCCAACAGGAUCGUUAUUGUCACAAAUUUGGAAACAGAGAUUCAGGUGAAAUGACUCAUCCAAGAUCAUGCAUUUAUGAAAUGGAAAGGAUGGGAUUUCAGUCCAGAUCAACCUAAUUCCAAAACCUGAUUUCUUAAUUUCUUUGUAAUACUGUGAAGAAAACAACAUGAAGGGAUACAAAUACUGCAAUCUGGGAAGUCUUCAUGAAGGAGGCAGCACCACGAGUCUGACAGGUAGAAGCAGUGAUCCAGGUCAAAGAGAUGGUAAAUGGCUUCCUGGACCUGGACUUGCUGAAGGACAAGUGGUGCCAGGGCCAGGAAGAGCCCAGGGUGGCAGAUUAAGAAGAUGGAGCUUGGCUCAGGAAGCCAUGAGAAGCCACCAGAUGAUUUCAAGAAAUUAUGUAUCUGGAUUUUAUUUUUUUAAUUAUUCUACAUGUUUUACUUUUCUUGCCUAAAAUUCAGCAAAAUAAAUUACAUUGUUAUAAUCAAGUUUUUCACAUAUGUUGUAUUUUAUGAACAGUAAUGCCAAAUUAGGUAACUCUUCUUGAAUCAACAUAGUUAAUUUUUUUUGUCUUUUUUUAGGGCUGCACCCAUGGCAUAUAGAAGUUCCCAGGCUAGGUGUCAAAUCAGAGUUUUGGCUGCUGGCCCAUGGCACAGCCACAGCAAUGCCAGGUCUGAGCCAUAUCUGCAACCUACACCACAGCUCACUGCAAUGCCAGAUCUUUAACCCACUGAGUGAGGCCAGGGAUUGAACCCGCAUCCUCAUGGAAACUAGUCAGAUUUGCUACCUCUGAGCCACAACAGGAAUUCCAAUGUAGCUAAAUUUUUAUUCAUUUAAUUUUAGAGAAAUCUGACUGUCCAAAGCAAAUGAAAUUGUCAGUAAAAUUCUUUAUGGAACACAUAUACUCAGAUGUAAACUGCGAAUUUAGCAUAUCAUGUUCAAACUUUGUAAUGAGAUUCCCAAACUUAUUGUUACCAGAGCAAAUGUUACAAAGUUUUUAUUGCAUCGUAUAAAUUGAUGUCACUCAUAUGCUUAUUUUCACCCUUUCUUUUUUAUCAAAGUAUAGUUGAUGUUACAGUUGUACAAAUAUUGAUUCACAAAAUAUUGGCUGUAUUCCCUGCAUUGUACAAUAUAUCCUGCUAGCUCGUUUUAUACCUAAUAGUUUGUAUCACUUAAUACUCACCCCUGUAUUGUGUCCCCCACUGGUAACCACUAGUUUGCUCUUCCUAUCUGUGAGUUUGAUUAUUUUUUGUUAUAUUCACUGGUUUGUUGAAAGAAACCAUCAACAACCUACGGAAUGGCAGAAAAUACUGGCGAAUGAUAGGCUCUAUAAGGAGUUAAUGUCGAAAAUAUAUAAACAGCCCAUAUAACUCAAUGUCAAAAAAACAAAAACCCAAUUGAAAAAUGGGCGGAAGACCUAAAUUGACAUUUUUCCAAAGAGGACAUGCAUACGGCCAACAUGCACAUAAAAGAUGAUCAGCAGCUCUAAUCAUUAAGAAAAUGCAAAUCAAAACCACAAUGAGACAUAACCUCACACCUGUCAGAACGGCUAUCAUCAAAAAGACCACAAAUAAUGAAUGUUGGUGAGCACGUGAAGAAAAGGGAACUGUGUACAUGGUUGGUGGGAAUGUAAAUUGGUG
rnacentral:lncRNA from 1 species